AUUUUUUAUUACUAAAAAUAAAUAUGUAUAUAGUUAAUGUAAAUUUAUUUAUUUCUAUUUAAUUUUAUAAAAUACCUCGAUAAUUUUACAAUUUUAACGCUUUUUUCUGUUUUUUUUAUUGUUACGCAUAUUUUUUACAAAUUAAAUAAUUUUUUUUAAAAAAAAAAAAAUAAAAAUAAAAAAAACGUUUAAAAUGAAAAAAUUGUAUAUUUCAUUGUUAUUCCUUAUAUUUUAUUUUGGCAAUUUGGAACUGACAUAUACCAGUAAUAGUGGUCAUUUAAAAAAAGACAGAACGGGUAAUAAUCAUGAAAAUGAAGAACAAGCAAUAAAUACGGAUAGGAAGGACAGAACGAAACGAGACGUAAAUCCUGCAGAAACUAAAAUGUCAGACACAGUUCAAAAUGCAGGGACAAAAAAACAAUAUAUAGAUACGUUAGAUGAUAAUUUUCCAAAAUUAACAGCGUAUAUGGCAACGAGUUUAUUUGAUGAAACAAGUGAAUAUUAUAAUAAUAUUAAUAAUCUAGGUCGUUUAUUUAUGGAAAAUUCUGAUGGCAAUGUUUCAAAUAAGGAUAAAGGUUACUCAAUACUCUAUUUAAAAUAUACUAAAAAAAAUAAGACAAACUCUAAAAUUAAUAUUGAAGCAAAAUUUUUAACAUAUCAAAUUCAUGCCACAAAAACAACAACUGAUAUGCCAUUUAAUCAAACAAUUGAUCUUAUUUCUGACAAUGGCCAAAAAAAUAAGUAUUAUAACACCAUACGUAAACUAUCGGAUAUGUACACUACACGCGUUUAUAUCAACAGCCCAUUUUUUAAAUCAGGAUUUUUAAUACAUAUUAUACAGUAUGAUGCUAACUCCGACCCAGCGAAAACAGUUUCACAAAAGGGAUCUGGUGUAAUUUGUGUACAAAAAGUCAAGGAACAAACAUGUAAACUAGAAUUUAAUGAAUUGAAUUAUGAACUUUUUCCAAAUUUGUGUGCGAAUCUUCAACUUAUGCAAAUCCCUAUCACAAAUAAAGCACUUAGUGAACAUUGUGAUAGUACGAAUUUAAAUAGUACGAAUUUAGAAGACCUCGUACAAAAUUUAGAUGAAAAACAACCAGAUUUACGUCACACAUAUUUUAUAGAACAGGACUUUCCACAAGAUUUUGGUCAAUUAUUCAUUUUUACACCUUUUUGCAAAAAAAUAAAAAUAGAUGAAGAUAGAUGUACAGAUUUGUUUUUUAAACAGUACAACAUAUUAGUAAUUCCUUUUAAAGAUGAUAAGUAUAUAAACAUGAUAAUUACUUGUAUGGAACCUUAUUAUAAUUUAAUAAUAAAACCAGAUGGUAAUGACCUUAAAAAAAAUCAUGAAAAACAAGAGAAAAGCAUAAAUAAUAAAGAAACAACUCAUGAAGGUUUACUAAGAAAACUUAGUGAUAGUAUACAUGCUAAUGACACGGAAACUUGUAAACAAACUUUCAUCAAAUUAGCAUCUUUUUCUACAGAAAGUCCCAACAAAUCCAGUUAUAAACGUUCUAAUUUAUCAGUUGGUAUGGUGCGAAGAAUACUUUCAUAUUUCGGGUUUCAAUAAUUAUAAUUAGGUUAUAAUUUUACAAAAUACAAUAAUAGUUUGUCCUAUUAUUUGUGCAUACAUAUAAAUUUAUGUAUAUACAUUUUUAUUCUGCUUUAAAAAAAAAAAUAAUAAUACAAAAUUUAUUAAAUUCUAAGCAAAAUUUAAUAUCACUAUUCAUCAUUUUUAUUUAUUCUAUUUUUUUUUUUUUUGCUUUUUAGCUUUUUAACUUUUUUUUUUUUUUUACAUAAAUAUUAAAACUAUAAAUAAAAUCAACAUUAUAAUUAUAAGCA
ensembl:lncRNA